AUCUUAUGAUUGAAGGUUUUAACUUAAAUACAUAUAUAUAAUUUUAUAUAUUGCUUGCACCAUUAGUGUGCACACACUUGAAAUGUCAUAGUUCAGCGUUUUAAUGGUAAGGACAACUGUAGUAUCGAGUUUCGUUAAAACAAAGUGAACAAUUAAAUUGCACAGUUUAUUUACUUAAAUGUUCUUCCACAUUUUGUGUUUUUUUCCCCUCUGAUGAUUUUGUGACAUGUGCCUAAAUAUUCACAAGCUACUGCAAAAGGGUAAACUGAAAACUGUGUUUCUCUCCAUUACCAGACCCUAAAGAACAGUCCCUGGAGUUACCCAUUUGUGAAUCUAAUCUUUCCAGAAAUAUUUUUUGUAUAUAGAUGGGCAUAGAUAUAGUCAUAGAUAUACACACCUUUACAAAUAUGUAUACACAUAUACACAUAUACACAUAUUGGUGUAUGUAUGUUCUCUUCUUUUUGGCUAUGAAUGUGAGUAUAUUAUAUAAACACUCUUGUACUUUAGUUUCUUUCACUUGGUAACAUCUCUUAAAACACUGCAUACUGACAGAUACAGAGUUAUCUCAUUCCUUUUGAGGACUGCAGGAUGAAUUGCUAAAUAGACAUUGAGAUUUUUCUUUGGAAAACCAGACCAAGAAGCACUGUAGCUGUUUAGAAUCAACUUUUAAUUCCUUUUACAUAUAUUUUCAUUUGUUUCAGUUUGUAGCUCAUGCCAGUCAUGUUCUUUCAUGACUCUCCACACUCCAAAAUUUGAUUUUAUUUGUUGUUUGUUACCAUCAUUUUUCUCCAUCUCCUCAUAUCACAAUGAAUUGGUUUCCCUAAAUGUCAAAACUGUCACUUAAAUGCUGUUUAGAAAGCUCUCAGGCUUUGCAAGUAGUGUUAAACUCAUUACUCAUUUCUCUGGAAAUAGUGUUUCAUGCAAGUGACUAUGUCUUGAUUAUAUAUUUCCUAGCAAAAGUAAAAAGACAGAAGAUUAUGUUGCAGCCCUCAUUAAUCUUCAGACUAAAAAAAAAAAAAAAAUCAGAAACAGCCAUUGUUAUUUUGCUUAUAUUAUUGUUUAGAGGCCAUAUGUUAGCAAUAGAUUAAAAUUAAGAACAUUAAUUUUUCUCCUGUUCUUAGAAAUGUUUAUGGAAGGCCCUCCAUUUCCUAGGCAUAAUGCCAUGUGUCAAGGAUUCAUUUUAAGAAAAAUUCCAGACUCCCGCCUUCCAUGAAGGAGACAAGCAAGUCAGUGAAAAAUAAUAGCACAUGGUUUUGUAUAAUCCAGGUACGCACUGAAUACUGUGGGAAUCUGAAGAGGUGUGUAGCCAUGUAGGGGUCAGAGGAAGGCUUACUAAUUAGGUAAUGCUUGAUUUGAAUCUUAAUGGCUGAGUCCUUUAAGUCAGACAGAGAAAGGAUUGGGGAAGGAGUGAUAUAAGAGGUAGAGAAGAAACAAAAGAUUGAAGCAGAGGAGUUAGUUCAGUCCAAAGCAAGAAAUAAAUUUGGGAAACUCCAAGUUUGUAUAACUGAAGCAUACUACGUGUGUGAUGGCUACAAAGAAAUCCAGGGAGGGUCAUGGAUCUUCGUGCCAAGGAGCUUUGAGCAGCUUACGUUUUAAGGCUGGGAGCAAUGAGAGCAGAUUUUAACUCCGGCAGCUGUAUGGCAGAUGGACUUGAGAACGAUGAGAGUGGGCCAUUUCAGAAGCUACUGAAAUAGUCCAGGCCAGAUCUGAUGAGACACACAUCUGAGCUUUGGCAGGGAUGAUGAAGGGAAAGAAAGCUUGAGAUUUAUCUAGAAAUUAAACAGACAGAUUUUAAUGCACUUCUGAGUCAUUCAGUAAGAAGGUAGCCACGACCUACGGGCUAGUAGGUUCUGUCCUAAAUAUGGAGGAUCGAUGGAAGGUAUGAAGAAAAGAGGCAAAUUAUCAAAUAAGAGCAACUAUUUUCCAUGCUGCAUUGGAAGUUUAUACUAGUGCAAUGAGGACAGAGAGAGUAAUGAUUCUCUCUGGGGAACUGCCAGUCUCAGCUCGGCUGGAGCCUUGCAUGUGAACAGCAUGGAAAGGAGUCAGGGAACAGAGCCCAGAGGCUUUACAUGCCUCAUUAAGAGUUUGGACUUCAUCCUCUAGGCAAGGCAAGCAAUUGACGAGUUUUAAGGCAGACAUGCCCUUUAAAAAGUUUCCCGUAAGAAUCUAGUGCAAGACAAAUUAGAGGUGGGCAAGACCUGAGGCAGGAAGAACAGCAAAAUAGAGCAGUUUAAUAAUUAUAGGUGGGGUGACAAUUACUAAAGAAAUGGCAGGCAUGGAGGUCAGGACACAGAUAAGACAUGUUAUGAUUUAGCACCAGUAAUACUCAGUCAUGAACUCAAGGAGUGAGUGGAACAACACAACUGAGGCUGACUCCCAAAUUCUGCAGUGAUCAACUGGGUGAGCAGGGGCAGGGACCCCACAGAAGGGGCCGUGCUGCUGGGGAAUGUGUGGGGUUUUGGUUCUGCUGAAUUUUAGGAACCUGUGCGAACACCAACUGGAGAAGCUGGCAGGCUGAAUUUAGGUGACUGUCNNNNNNNNNNNNNNNNNNNNNNNNNNNNNNNNNNNNNNNNNNNNNNNNNNNNNNNNNNNNNNNNNNNNNNNNNNNNNNNNNNNNNNNNNNNNNNNNNNNACCAACUGGAGAAGCUGGCAGGCUGAAUUUAGGUGACUGUCAGCAGUGUCAUCUGGUGAAAGAUACAAAAAGAGAUGAGAAUUAUGGUGUGUAGUUGGCAGUUGUAUCUAUGGAGGUGUUAUCACCGUGUGCAGGCAAAAUGUGUAGGCUGUAGAGUGAAGCCAAAAGAAGUUGAUCAAUAAACUUCUGAGAAACUUCCCCAUGGUGGGCAAGGCCACGUGACCUCCGCCUAAACACGCCUUCAACUUCAUGGCUUCAGCCAGAUAGAUCUGGUUCAGUUUUUCAGAUACGCCAACCUNNNNNNNNNNNNNNNNNNNNNNNNNNACAGAUUUUUUUCCCUCCAGAAAACAUUAUGCUUAAUGGCUACUUCCUCAGAGACGGCAUCUCUGACCUCCAUGUAUCACUUGCCCCUUUCACAUCCCUGUCACCUUCCCCCUAGUUUAUUAUCUUCUGUCACCUUCCCCUAGUGUAUUAUCUUCAUGAUUUUGAUUUAUCACUUACUUAGUAUCCUAUUGCCUCUCCUAAUUCUCUCCAUCUUAAAUCACCCUGAAAUAGGAUCCUGCCUGUCGAUUUUGCCAUGUACUUCCAGCCACAGAUUUGUUCCUGAGAUAUGACAGCUUGAGAAAUAUUUGAACUACGUUAGAAUGCCAGAUUCCUUACACCAGAUGUGGCUUUAUUUAUAUAUAUGUGAGCUAAGAGUCGGACAC
ensembl:lncRNA